ensembl:lncRNA
CCCCGAAGCGUGUAAGGCUCAUAGCAGGGAACGAGAGAAGCAGUGAAUGAGUCUAGUUCCCCCCCCGCUUCGGGAACGGCACUUAGAGGGAGAGCAGGUACAAAUUUGCAGUAUCUUCCAGAUGGGUACAUGCCUAUGGACCUGUCUGCCUGUGGUUCCGCUGACACUGGGAUUCAAGCACUUAGUUCCUAGACUCACACAGAGGACGUGCGCAGACUGUGGCAGAACCCAGAGAUGGCUGCGUAAGAAGAUCAGCAAGAAACACCCAGAUUAUACAUAUGAAUAG